AGCAGCCGCGGUAAUUCCAGCUCCAAUAGCGUAUAUUAAAGUUGUUGCAGUUAAAAAGCUCGUAGUUGAAUUUCGAGAUCAAUUUGUCGGUCGUGCCUCGGUACGUACUGGCAUUAUUGAUUUCUCCCUUCUGAAGAACCGCGAUGUCAUUAAUUUGGUGUCGUGGGGAAUCAGGACUGUUACUUUGAAAAAUUAGAGUGUUUAAAGCAGGCGCACGCUUGAAUACAUUAGCAUGGAAUAAUGAAAAUAGGACGUUUGAUUCUAUUUUGUUGGUUUUCUAGGAUCGACGUAAUGAUUAAUAGGGAUAGUUGGGGGCAUUAGUAUUCAAUUGUCAGAGGUGAAAUUCUUGGAUUUAUUGAAGACUAACUACUGCGAAAGCAUUUGCCAAGGAUGUUUUCAUUAAUCAAGAACGAAAGUUAGGGGAUCGAAGACGAUCAGAUACCGUCGUAGUCUUAACCAUAAACUAUGCCGACUAGGGAUCGGAUGAUGUUAAUUUUUAAUGUACUUCAUUCGGCGCCUU
rnacentral:rRNA from 1 species